UACGGAGGGGGCUAGCGUUGUUCGGAAUUACUGGGCGUAAAGCGCACGUAGGCGGCUUUGCAAGACAGAUGUGAAAUCCCCGGGCUUAACCUGGGAACUGCAUUUGUGACUGCAUGGCUGGAGUGCGGCAGAGGGGGAUGGAAUUCCGCGUGUAGCAGUGAAAUGCGUAGAUAUCAGGAGGAACACCGGUGGCGAAGGCGGGUCUCUGGGCAACAACUGACGCUGAGGAGCGAAAGCGUGGGGAGCGAACAGG
rnacentral:rRNA from 1 species